rnacentral:rRNA from 1 species
AUUAACGCUGGCGGCGUGCCUAAUACAUGCAAGUCGAGCGAACAGACGAGGAGCUUGCUCCUCUGACGUUAGCGGCGGACGGGUGAGUAACACGUGGAUAACCUACCUAUAAGACUGGGAUAACUUCGGGAAACCGGAGCUAAUACCGGAUAAUAUAUUGAACCGCAUGGUUCAAUAGUGAAAGACGGUUUUGCUGUCACUUAUAGAUGGAUCCGCGCCGCAUUAGCUAGUUGGUAAGGUAACGGCUUACCAAGGCAACGAUGCGUAGCCGACCUGAGAGGGUGAUCGGCCACAAUGGAACUGAGACACGGUCCAGACUCCUACGGGAGGCAGCAGUAGGGAAUCUUCCGCAAUGGGCGAAAGCCUGACGGAGCAACGCCGCGUGAGUGAUGAAGGUCUUCGGAUCGUAAAACUCUGUUAUUAGGGAAGAACAAAUGUGUAAGUAACUAUGCACGUCUUGACGGUACCUAAUCAGAAAGCCACGGCUAACUACGUG